rnacentral:lncRNA from 1 species
CCCAGUUCGCCUCGGAGCCUCCUGCGCCGCCGCCUCCGGCAUAUCAGUACGACUACUACUACUGACGACUGACCAUUCUCGGCAAGCCGGCCAGGUCGUCUGCUCGUGUACGGUUCUGUUAUGUGUGGGGGCUAGUCUCGAGAUCCUGGCACCACCUGGUGUACGCACCCCGGCCUGGGCGAGGUUACCGGGUGGUGAUAGGAUCUCCCGGAAGAUAAGUUACUAUAAGCUAGUAGUAAAAGAAACUUAGUAUUAGUCGCAGUUUUAUGUGUGGUCACUAGAUCGUUUGGUGUUUUUCUUAAUUUCUGCUUAGUGUUUCAGCGUGUUAUUUCUAGAUUUCUAGUGUCACAUAAUGUGUGUGCUUGUGUGGCCUUCGGUUUUGCAUGAAGCUCACCAAGGAAGUUAGUUAAUUAAUCAGCUCAAAUAUGCAACUAUUUGUGCCAUAAGUAUGAUGUAUUGUGGUGUGUUUAUUAUUAUAUGUAUUUGGCACUUUCUUGUGUAUGGUGACCGGUACUUUCCGAUGUUUUCUCUUGAAUACUUUUCGGUUUUCUAUGUAGUCUUCACUAAACAACAAGCAUUGCAUCAUCCGUUGUUUUUUCCUCUUGAUUACUUACUAGUCCAAGAGCAUAGUUAAGGGCCUAGGUUUCAAAUUUCAACUGCAAAAUAUGGAUACUUUCUCGUUUUUAUUAACUUUGUCUAAAGUCAAACUUUAUCAACUUUGUUCAAGCUUAUAAGUGUGUGUGUGUGUGUGUGUGUGUNCCCUAACAGUCGCAUAUAGAGAAACAAAGCCCCAACAGAUCCCUUUUUGGAGCUGGAGAUAUGUUGGAAGCUCAGUUUGGUGAGGGCUCGAUGCUGGCAGAAUCUGUUUCGCGGACAACUGAGCUUGUGCAGGAAUUGCUGGCUAUGGAGAGACAUCCAAACAUUCUUUUUUAAGUAGGAUGUAUCCCUAGCCUCUUCACGUGGGCCAUGCAUGAGUCAUUUUAUGAAUAAGCGUGGAGUCAUCAUCGCUACUUCUAUCCCCUUGAUGUACGGGUGCCGAAUGUUCGAGCCUAAUACCAAACACACAUCACGCCAAAACCUAACAUCUAAUGCCGGAUGCUCCACCCCACCCACAUACCGGGGCUGGGACACAGCGGGUCGGCUCACUCACCGAGGCAGCCACCGUCCUCUUCCACCAAACCAUACUAACGCAUAAACCUUGCCAGCCUGCCGUCGAUGCCACCAUGGUGCCAGACAGCGCCACCACCCUGCGCUCGAUCAUCCAGCCGCAUCCAUCGAUAAUAUCCUGUUGCACCAUGCCGCCAAUACUCGUCGUCAUCAACGCGGUAGAUACAACGUCGCACCAACUGGCAACCUCCACACCAUCGCCAUUGCUGGAAUUACAAGGAGCCCAUCACCCAUAGCAAUUCUCCCCCGAACACGAGGUCCUCCCAAUGACGGCGCCUUCAUGGAGAAUACGACGCGUAGGACGCUGCAGCCGCCCAAUCUAGAUGAACUUUAGACUUUCGUCCGAGAGGAGUUCGGGGAGGGAGAGGACAGACCUCGGCUUUGCCUCCACGAAGGGUAACGACGUUGAGUGACGUCGCCGAUGCCGGGCUGAACAAGCCGACCAAAGUUUCCUCACUUCCCAUUCUAUACCACCAAACCUCCGUCUGCUCCAGGUCCGGCAACGAGCUGAAUUGCAACCUGCAGAGAUGAAAGAGCCAUGGGGCUCAACCCAAUAGGAAGGAGGAUCGAGAAGAACCCAUCGUAGAUCUCCAGACGCCGAAUCAUGCGAUCCGACGUGGCCAGCAAGACCACCACCACCCCGCGGCGGCCGAAGGCGUCCAAAGACAGGAUCCAGAUGGAUCUGGUCUGGAUUCGGCGGCACCCGCGACCACUGGUCAUGCCCAACGUUGCCACAACCUCGCCACAAACAAGUUGUCNNNNNNNNNNNNNNNNNNNNNNNNNNNNNNNNNNNNNNNNNNNNNNNNNNNNNNNNNNNNNNNNNNNNNNNNNNNNNNNNNNNNNNNNNNNNNNNNNNNNGGUAUUCUGGGUGCUAAAAUAAAUAAAUAAUGGAAUCAAAUAAAAGAAUAAAUAAGAAAUAAAUAAACAGCCCCGUGACUAGGCCUCGACCCAAGUGGCCGGCCCAACCGUGCCACCCACCAGCCCACCCCACCCGGGGGUAUAAAAUCCCCAAACAACCCUAGCUAUCCCGUGGCCACCCUCAUUUCUCCCUCUCCCCCUGAUUCAUCCCCUCACCUAGCGGAUUCCUCCUCUCCCUCACUCGACUCGGCCGAUGCGGCCAAUUCGGCGACCCCGCAGGCUGCCUCGUCCCCAUCGGCCUCCUCGCCUUCCUCCCCAUCAGCCACCACCUCGCCUCGCCCCCCGAGCCUCUGCUUCCCAUGCGAUCGGCAGUGAGGCCCCUCUCCUCCUUCUCCCUCGGGUCUGGCGACCCCCUCGCUCCGGCGGCCACCGUCCCGGGCGGCCACUCCGCAGGCCCCCUCCACCCGUGCACGCCCCUCUCACUCCUCGCUGGCCUCGCGCCCUCCAAUCACCACGCGCACGCCACAUCGCUUCCCCCUCACCCCGGGCCUCCUGCGACUGCUCGCUCGCGCGCCACAGCGCAUGCACACCCCCGCACCGCUGUGCGUCCGACCCCACCAGCGGUGCUCUAGCCCUGCUGGCCGCUCCCACACCCACCGACCGCUCGCCCGAUGCUCCACCGCUCGCCACCGAGCCGCCCCGUGCGUCGCCCCACUAGCCACCGACGGUUGGCCCCGCUGCUAUCGCUCCCCCAUGCCGCUCGCUGCAUCGUCGGUAGCGUGUGCUGGCCACCGCCGUCGGCUGCUACCACUACUGGCCUCCUCCACAGCCGCGUCUGCCUCGUGGCCCGAUUUGGUUAGUGGGGAUUAAUCCCCCACUAACCCCCUUUCAGUGUUAACACUUCUCCACCAAAUGACAUGAUGGCCCCCUAAAAAUGUGUUAAAAUAGAAUAAAUUAAUAUAUGUAGAUAAUAAUAUAAUUAAUUAGGUAAUUAAUGAAUAAGUUAAUUAAUAGCUUAAUUAACAUAUGUUUAACGUGCCUAAUUAAUUAGAGUAAUUAAUUGGGUUAAUUAAACCUAAUCUAAUCUAAUUACUCCCUCCAUCAUAGUUUAUAAGAGUAUACCUAGGUCGUCAAUUUAACCAACUUAAUGAGAGACAUAUAUUAUAAAAAAAUAUAUCAUUAAAAACUUUAGAUGUUCUAUUUUCUAAUGAUAUAAUUUUUAUUUUAAACAAUAUAUUUUAUAUAAGUUAAANNNNNNNNNNNNNNNNNNNNNNNNNNNNNNNNNNNNNNNNNNNNNNNNNNNNNNNNNNNNNNNNNNNNNNNNNNNNNNNNNNNNNNNNNNNNNNNNNNNNCUAUAGAAGGAUCACGGAGUUCACUAGCAAUCACAAGAUGGAUGCCAUUGAUAUUGGGAAACACCUCUCCAGGCUCUAUGGCAGGGUUGAUCAACUGCAGGGCCAGAUCUAUGACCUGCAGAACCAAAACUGUGAGUAUGAGUACAGAUUUAAAUCAAUAAGGUUGGCUGCAUAUUUGAGGAUUCCGGUGACUCGUUCAUCCUAUGCCUUGGAAGACGGAGGAUCGGACUACUCCGACAACAACACCACCAUCACCACCAAAGGAAGACAACUAAGCAUUGGUAUGGGCAAUCCCCUUGGCUUAUGCCAAGCUUGGGGGAGUUGCCCUGGUAUCGUAUCACCUUUAUAUCUUUUGCUUUUACCUGUGUUUUAGUUCUUUCCUUUUCAAAUUUUAUUUCUUCUUUUAGAGGAAUAAGUCUUUAGUGUUUAGUUUGAGUCUUUUGCUUUUGUCUAUCCCCCGUUGCAUUCGGGCUUACGAGCUAAUAAAGAGUGUCUUAGUUAAGGGCUUUGCUUUCUGCCACGAUCAAAAGUAUGGAAAGAACGAUAGCAUGAAAGAUCAUGAGACGAUCUUAUGGAAAUUGAUAACUUCACUUAUGACACGUAUGAUGAUUGAAACUUGUUGCGAAUAAAUCAACAUAGACAUUAGUCAUUGUUGCAAUUAAUAAGAAGUAAUAAGGAAAGAGAGGUUCACAUAAAAUAUAUCAUCUUAGACACUUUUUACAAUUGUGAGCACUCACCAAACUAUUACAUGCUUAGGAGUAGAUGUUGGACAAGGAAGACAACAUAAUGAAUUGUGUUUGCUUGGUUCCAAACAAUGUUAUAUGAUUAGAGAUCCCUUAGCAUGUGACGAUUGCUUCCACCUCAUAUUAGCCAAAACUCCCGCACCAAGUAGAGAUACUACUUGUGCAUCCAUAAACCUCCAACCCAGUUUUGCCAUGAGAGUCCACCAUACCUACCUAUGGAUUGAAUAAGAUCCUUCAAGUAAGUUGUCAUCGGUGCAAGCAAUAAAAUUUUAUCUCUAAUAUGUAUGAUCUAUUAGUGUGUGGAAAAUAAGCUUUGUACGAACCUGUGAUGAGGAAGACAUAAAAGCGACAGACUGCAUAAUAAAGUUCUUUAUCACAGGAGGCGAUAUAAAGUGACGUUCCUCCGCACUAAGAGGACACGCAUUCAAACCUCAAAAGCGCUUGACAACCUCUGCUUCCCUCUGCGAAGGGCCUAUCUUGUACCUUUACUUUUUACCCUUGUAAGAGUCAUGGUGAUAUUCACCAGUUCCCUUUUUGCCUUUGUCUUAGCUACCGUCACAUGCUUGGGAAAGAUCUAUAUUCAUAUAUCAACUUGGAGUUGAGUACUUAUGCUUUAUUGUUGUUGACUUUACCCUUGAGGUAAAUGGUUGGGAGGCAAAACCAUAAGCCCCUAUCUUCCUCUGUGUCCAGCUGAAACUUUGACACCAUGAGUACCACGUGAGUUGUAACAAUUGUGGAAAACAAAAGAGAUGAUUGAGUAUGUGGGUUUGCCUUACAAGCUCUUAUUUGACUCUUUCUGAUGUUGUGAUAAAUUGCAAUUGCUUCAAUGACUAUGGACUAUUAUUGGUUACUUCUCGGUAAUGUUUUUGCUUCAUGCUUUGCUUUGUGAAGGAAUUGUUACUUUCCCAUAAGAAUCUUUAUGAUGUAUUGUUGUUCUAUGUGUGAUCAUGAUCCCCUCAUGUCCGUAUUAUGUUUUAUGGACACCUUCGUCCCUCAACAUGUGGACAUGUUUAUGGAACUUGGCUUUCUCUUGAGGACAAGCGAGGUUGUAACAUCCCAAAAUUAUAAAUUUUGGAAUGUUAAUAUAAUUAUUAGAUUGAUUGUUUGUUUGUAUGAGUGAUUGAAACUUGAGUGAAAUUUAUAACUUUUUAAAACUUUUGAAUGAAAGGGAAUAAAAUGACUUUCCCAUUUUUCUUUUGAAUUCAAAUUCAUCCAUUUAAAAUCAGUGAGAGAAGAUAACAUGACUUCUUCAACUAUAAAGAAUUUGGAUGACUGUGGCACUUGAAUUUUCCUUUGGUUUUUGAUUUGAAUUUAUAUUUUAUUUUUGGCACAAGAUUUCAACCACAAAAUAUUUCCUGACAAUAUACUUGCCAAGCAAGAAAGAGAGGAGGUAACAUGACACACCCCAAAAAUAAAAGUCACAAGAAAAAUAGUGCCAAAAAUUUUAAAGACAAAAUUUGGACUUUAUUGGAUUUAAAAAAAAUAAAUUGUUAUAAAGUUUUUAUUUUGUGAAAAAUAAAAUGUUCAUGUUGUAGGAAAUUUUAUUCUGAAAAUUUUGAUAUAUAAUAUGUCUAUAUAAAAUAUUUUAUUGUUUCCUGUUUUUUCAGAAAAAACAAAUUUGAAUAAAAAGGCUCACGAUGCCAAACAGCCCAGCCAGCACGUGUGCGUGCGUUGUGUGUGCGGCCGGCCGAUUCCUUUGGCCCAUGCGUCACCUUUUUACUUUUUUUUCUAGUUUCCCUACAUUGCGUAUAUGUUUAGUCCCACAUCGCCUACCUAUGGACCAUUAGACCUUCUUUCCACCUAUAAAUAUAGACCCAUAGGAGCAUCCAAAAAAUCAUCUAUUUCGGGUUAAAUCAAUCUUUUGAUUUGACUAGGUUUAUUAAAUAAAAAUACUCUUUUCUCUUCGGCGGGAUUUCUCGAAGUCGUCUCCUCAUUGGAAUUAAUUUUUACUCUGCAUUCUAAAGGUAUUUCUCUUCGUAUUUUUCUUUUAUACUCCCGUAGUUUAUUAUUUCUAGACUAGUAUUUAUACACUAGUAUAUGGUAGAGUAAUUAGAUUUAUCAAUUAGUCUCUGUAUUUACACAUUAGUACUAGAAUUCUUUUAGACAUAGCACUUUUCUUCCGUAAAACAGCUUGGCCCUGAUUUUUCAAAUAGCCAUAACUUUUUACUCGUUUAUCCGAUUUAGAUGAAACCAACGCCUAGAGUUUCGUCUUGAUCCCACCUAUCUGGUGAACCUAUCAUAUCAACCUUUUGAAAUUUUCAAAUUUCAAGAUUUGUUCACAUUCAUAUUCAAACUUCUUUUGAUCAUAUCUUUUUAUCCGUAGCUCCGUUUUAGAUGAAUCCAAUUGCGUCGGAUUCGUAUUAAAGUAAUAUUUCCAUUUGUAUCAUUAGUUUUAACUUUUCAACUUAUAAUUUUGAUCAAAUCAGAUUUAUCUAUUAGUACCCAAAAGCGUUCACAUCGUUUUAGGCCGAUUCAAUGUUAUAUUGAAGUAUUUGUAUCUUUUGAUCCGCUAUUUAAAAUCUAGUAAUUCUUUUUUCUACAUGUUCAUGUUGAUCUCCUAUAUCCAGUAGCAUCAUUAGUUUCGACCUUUGAACCUUACAUAUUUGAGCGAUUCAAAUUUGUAUUCGAACAUUCAUUUGAUCUUAACUUGCAAACAGUAGCACCUUUUUCAUUGAUUUCUUUUGCCCCUAAACACUUGUGUUACGUACUUUCUAUUCAUAACAACCAUGCUCCAAUUCAAAUACUUUUGACCUUUAUGGAAUUCAAAUUCUAUUCAUACUUCAAUUCGCUAUAACUUGCGUUGUAGUGCUCCAUUUCAAGAAAUUCUUUCUACAAAUAAAUUCUUAUGUCUUAUACUAUUUGUCAAACAACAUUCAUGUUGUUCUCCCAAUAUUUUUUAUCAUCUCCCAUAGUGUAUGCAAGUCGAGCUUAUAUAGCGAUAGUUGAUCAUCCUUUGACUCUUUUGAGUUGACCCCUUUCACCGUUCCUUUUACAACACCAUAAGGCCCUAGUUUUUUUUAUUAAACCUUAGUACAUUGUUAUUUUGCACCAAGACAUGCUUUGUUCUUAUGUUCUCUUGGUUCUUCCUUUUUGGCACGAAUGUUUAUUGAAUGCUAUUCGUUUACAAUGGAUUGCUUGGAGUCUGGCGAGUAGAAUUAUCAGGAUUUUGAGAGCGACUAUCUUCAUCAAGUAAUACCAGGCAAGUCAUUUGAUCAUGUAUCACCUAUGUUUUAUGCAUCGUAGUUCUACCAUCCUAUGCCCAAUUGCAUGUUGAGUAGGUACUUGGAAAUUAUGGUUACAUAUUGUAGUAUCAUGCGGUAGGCACCCAACAACCCCGUUACUUGGCCCGGGAUGACAAAUUUCAUAUUUCUAUGCUUGAGUAGACGGGAUUAUGGUUGAGAGUUUACCACGAGUGAUGCGAGAAUAAUGUAAUAACCAAGACCGGUUAAGUCAAGACUUUUCAAGACCUCGUGAUGUAAUGCAACUCUGGGUGAAGGACGGUUGAUCGGCUCCCUGGAGAAACCAGUGGAUGACCCGGGAUGCUGGAGACGUGCCAUGACAUCUUGCGGAAAGCUUCACCCAGGCUCAAAGCGACGGACGGAUAUUUUCAAGACCCAAGGCUUACCUGCACAACCACAAAUCAUUAUGGGCUCUGGCUUGGUUGGACAACGCGGCGACUCUGGACAGGCGGUGCCAGCAGAUGUAGAAGAACGGUAGGAUUUGGAUGGGCACCGACACAAAUUCAGAGGGACCCGUUGAAAGACAAUGUUUUGAUCAUCCGGUCUUCAAACACCCUGAAGUGCGAGGACAUACACGGAGGCGAUCAAAUCUUGCGGGGAACGUGUGCAAAACUCUGUAGAGUACUCAAACCUAAUCGAUUAGCCGUGUCCACGGUCAUGGACAACUUGAGCCAAAGGAACUGAAGUUAUCUGGAAUUCUCAACACCAUUUAUAUAUAUUUGAUGUGGGUAAUAUUGAUAACCUGGGUAUGAGAACUGGUUGGCGGAACCAUCUCAUUAACAACCAACAGCGUAGUAAUAUUUUGCUUUUAGCCCCUCUUGUUGUAGGAGAAAAUUUGCUUUACGCUAAAACUUACAACACCACCUUCCAUAUAUGCAUAUAGUAUAGAUGAUAUUUUACGCCAUCUCAUAUGUGACUUUCCGGCAUAUUCAAUAUGCUGACCUACACGGCUGCAACGUCUUAUGUUGCAGAUAUUUUUCUUCGACGAGUAAGAGUACGAUUCAGGGUUACGGUCUACACUCAACUUGACGUUGGUGUUUAUUGGGACUCCACUCCCUUGACUGCUUCCGCUGAGAUAUUUAAGGUAUAUAUCAGUUUUACGCUAUUUACAUGUGAUUGCACUUUGAUAUAUACAUUGUUGUACUGUGUGUGCCAGCAUACUGAUCCAGGUAUGGCACAGAUACACAGAGGCUUGACUCGUUUUGAGUCGGGUCGUUACAGAGGUCUAAGCUUGGGGGAGUUGAUACGUCCAUUUUGCAUCAUGCUUUCAUGUUGAUAUUUUUUGCUUUUUGGGAUGUUAUAUUACUUGUGGUACCAUAUUUAUGCCUUUUCUCUCUUAUUUUGCAAGUUUUAUUUGAAGAGGGAGAAUUCAGGCAGCUGGAAUUCUGGACUGGAAAAGGAGGAAAUCCUAGUCCACUAUUCUGCACAUCUCCAAAUGCCCUGAAAAGUUACGUGGAUUUUUUCUGGAAUAUAUAGAAAAUACUGGGCGAAAGAACUACCGGAGGGGGGCCACCAGGGCUCCACAAGCCCCCACUCCGCCACCACCCCCCUGGUGGCGCAGGGCAAGCUUGUGGGCUGCAUGGCAGCCCACUAGCUCCCCCUUUUGCUAUAUGAAGGGUUUUGGUCUGGAAAAAAAUUAAUAGGGAGCUUUUACGUGGUUUUGCCAUCGCCACGAGGCGGAACUUGAGCAGAACCAAUCUAGAGCUCCGGCAGGACGAUCCUGCCGGGGAAACUUCCCUCCCGGAGGGGGAAAUCGUCGCUAUCGUCAUCACCAACACUCCUCUCGUCGGAGGGGAGGCAUCUUCAUCAACAUCUUCAUCAGCACCAUCUCCUCCCCAAUCCCUAGUUCAUCUCUUGUAACCAAUCUUCGUCUCGCGACUCCGAUUGGUACUUAUAAGGUUGCUAGUAGUGUUGAUUACUCUUUGUAGUUGAUGCUAGUUGGAUUACUUGGUGGAAGUUUUUAUGUUCAGAUCCUUGAUGCUAUUCAUUACACCUUUGAUCAUGAUUAUGAUUAUGUUUUGUGAGUAGUUACUUUUGUUCCUGAGGAAAUGGGAUAAGUCAUGCUGAUAAUAGUCAUGUGAAUUUGAUAUUCGUUCGAUAUUUCGAGAUGUUGUAUGUUGUUUUUCCUCUAUUCGUGUUAUGUGAACGUCGACUACAUAACACUUCACCAUAUUUGCGCCUAGAGGAAGGCAUUGGGAAGUAGUAAGUAGAUGAUGGGUUGCUGGAGUGACAGAAGCUUAAACCCCAGUCCAUGUGUUGCUUCGUGAGGGGCUGAUUUGGAUCCACUAGUUUAAUGUUAUGGUUAGACUUUGUCUUAAUUCUUCUUUUGUAGUUGCGGAUGCUUGCGAGAGAGGUUAAUCAUAAGUGGGAUGCUUGUCCAAGUAAGGGCAGUACCCAAGCGCCGGUCCACCCACAUAUCAAACUAUCAAAGUAACGAACGUGAAUCAUAUGAACAUGAUGAAACUAGCAUGAUAGAAAUUCCCGUGUGUCCUCGGUAGCGUUUUUCCUCCUAUAAGACUUGGUUCAGGCUUGUCCCUUGCUACAAAAGGGAUUGGGCCACUUGUGGGUCAUCACGCCUCCACACUCAUUAGACUGCACACAUCGGUAUGUAUGAUCUCCAAUAAGUCACUUGCACGCUCCAUUGUUCCGGAGAAUGGAAUCUUAGUCAUCUUGCCCAUGAGGCAUGGUUCGCAUGUGUCAAGUGAUUCAAAAUCAAGUGACUCCAAAAGCCCAUCGGAAUGGAGCUUCUUCAUGCGCUAUACACCAAUAUGACCUAAGUGGCAGUGCCAUAAAAACGUGGCGCUAUCAUUGUUAACUCUACAUCUCUUGGUCUCAAUGUUAUGUACAUGUGUGUCAUCACAAUCAAGAUUCAACAUGAACAAUCCUCUCAAAUUGGGUGCAUGACCAUAAAAGAUAUUACUCAUAGAAAUAGAAGAACCAUUAUUCUCUGACGUAAAUGAGUAACCGUCUUGCAAUAAAAAAGAUCCAGAUAUAUUGUUCAUGCUUAACGCAUGCACUAAAUAAUAAUUAUUUAAGUUCAUAACUAAUCCUGAUGGUAACUGAAGCGAGACUGUGCCAACGGCGAUUGCAUCAACCUUGGAACCAUUUCCCACGUGCAUCGUCACUUCAUCCUUCGCGAGCCUUCGUUUAUUCCGCAGUGCCUGCUUCGAGUUGCAAAUAUGAGCAACAUAACCAGUAUCAAAUACCCAUGCACUACUACGAGAGUUGGUUAAGUACACAUCAAUAACAUGUGUAUCACAUAUACCUAAUUUUUCUUUGGACGCCUUCUUAUCAGCCAAAUGCUUGGGGCAGUUGCGCUUCGAGUGACCCAUCCCCUUGCAAUGAUAACACUCUGUUUCCGGCUUAGGUCCAGCCUUGGGUUUCUUUGUCGGAUUGGCAACAGGCUUGCCGCUCUUCUUGGAGUUACCCUUCUUGCCUUUGCCGUUUUUCUUGAAACCAGUGGUCUUAUUGACCAUCAACACAUAUGCUCUUUCCGGAGUUCUGACUCUGCGACUUCCAGCAUCGCGGAUAACUCGCCGGGUGACUUGUUCAUCCCUUGCAUGUUAUAGUUCAACACAAAGCUCAUAUAGCUAGGUGGCAGUGAUUGAAGAAUUAUGACAGUGAUAGCCUCUUGCGGCAGUUCAAUCCCCAGCUCAACUAGACGGUUUGAGUACCCAGACAUUUUGAGCACAUGUUUACUGACAGAUGAAUUCUCCUCCAUCUUGCAGGCAUAUAAUUUAUCGAAGGUCUCAUACCUCUUGAUCCGGGCAUUCUUCUAAAAGAUAAACUUCAACUCCUGGAACAUCUCAUAUGAUCCAUGACGCUCAAAGAGACGUUGAAGUCCCGGUUCCAAGCCAUAAAAGAUUGCACAUUGAACUACUGAGUAGUCCUCCUUACGCGAUUGCCAAGCGUUCAAAACAUCUUGGUCAUACGUAGCGGGUGGUUCAUCUCCUAGCGCAGCAUCAAGGACAUAAUUCUUUUUCCCAACUUGUAGGAUGAGCCUAAUAUUCGUGCCCAGUCUACAAAGUUGCUUCCAUCAUCUUUCAACUUAGCUUUCUCUAGGAACGUACUGAAAUUCAGGGUUGCUAUUGCGUGAGCCAUUGAUCUACAACAUAAAAUAUUGCAAAGUGGACUUAGACUAUGUUCAAGAUAAUUAGAGUUUAACUAAUCAAAUUACUUAAUAAACUCCCACUCAAAAAGUACAUCCCUCUAGUCAUUUGAGUGGUGCAUGAUCCAAAUUCACUAGCUCAAGUCUGAUCAUCACGUGAGUUGAGUAUAGUUUCAGUGGUAAACAUCUCUAUGCUAAUCAUAUCAACUAUACGAUUCAUGCUCGACCUUUCAGUCUCUUGUGUUCCAAGGCCAUGUCUGCACAUGCUAGGCUCGUCAAGUUUAACCCGAGUGUUCCGCGUGUGCAACUGUUUUGCACCCGUUGUAUGUGAAUGUUGAGUCUAUCACACCCGAUCAUCACGUGGUGUUUCAAAACGAUGAACUUUCGCAAUGGUGCACAGUCGGGGAGAACACAAUUUCAUCUUGAAAUUUCAGUGAGGGAUUGUUAGAGCAUAUAUCUCCAUAUGUGGUUUUGGUAAUUGAUGACAAUUCCUAUGGACUAAUGGUUGCGUUAAGUUAUAUUUAUAGGAUUUUUCCAUAGGCACUUCUUGAAGUCCAUCUGUUGGGUUCAAGGAGUUUAUAUGAUGACCAAGGUGGUAUUCAAGGUAUUAUCCAAAGAAUGGUCAUAGAGACACAAGGUUGAUCAAGAUCGCCAGACAAAGAGUGAAUCAAGAUGAUCACCACACAAAGCGUACAAGAUGUAUCGAGAGGGAUCAAGUGAUCCCAUGGUAUGGUAAGCAUUGUCUAGUACGUAAUUGUGUACUAACCCAUGGUCUUCUUGAGAGUUCAAUGUGGGGUUAGGUGUGUUUCCAUGGGCUUGCGUCAAGAGGAAUAUCUCAUACAACCCAUGGAGGAUGACGUCAAGUGAUGGAGGAUGGUGGAAAUGGACUUGUGAAGAUAUGCUGAAGAGCGGCUCACCCAUAGUGUGUAUGGGGGAGCAGUCAACUAGUCUUCAUCAAGCCAACACAAGCAAGAAAGGUGGUCCAUCUUGAGGAAGCCAAGAUCAUCGUCAUCUAGCUCAAGAGGAUGAGGUGCAAGGUAUAGGUUUGCCCUUGAUAGGUUUUCUGUUUUAGGAUAGAUUGUCGUACUGUCAAGGGGGGCUCUCAAGUGAGUAGCUUGAUCGUAUCGUUCAUUGAGAGCUCAAACCGUUUGCAUCCUUGCAUCAUAUUUCUUGGUUCUUGUUUGGUAUUUCUCUUUGUGAGUUUUAAAGCUUAUGGUCAUCUUGAUUACAUGUAGCGACCCGACUCAAACGAGUCAAGCCUCUGUGUAUCUGUGCCAUCCCUAGAUCAGUAUGCUCGCACACACAGUACAUCAAUGUAUAUAUCAAAGUGCAAUCACAUGUAAAUAACGUAAAACUGAUAUAUACCUUAAAAUCUCAGCGGAAACAGUCAAGGGAGUGGAGUCCCAAUAAACACCAACGGCAAGUUGAGUGUAGACCGUAACCCUGAAUUGUGCUCUUACUCGUUGAAGAAAUAUCUGCAACAUAAGACGUUGCAGCCGUGUAGGUCAGCAUAUGGAAUAUGCCGGCAAGUCACAAAAGAGAGGGGUAAAAAUAUCAUCUAUACUAUAUGCAUAUAUGGCAGGUGAGGCUAUAAGUUUUUAGCAAAAAGCAAGUUUUCUCCUACAACAAGAGAGGGCUAAAAGCAAAAUUUACUACAUUGUUGGUUGUCAAUGAGAAGGUUCCGCCAACCAGUUCUCAUACCCAAGUUGUCAAUAUUACCCACAUCAUUAUUAAACUGUGUUGAGAGUUCAGGAAAAUUUCAAUGCCUUCGGCUCAAGUUGUCCAUGACCGUGGACACGGCUAAUCGAUUAGGUUUGAGUACUCUGCGGAGUUUUGCACACGUUCCCCACAAGAUUUGAUCGCCUCCGGGUAUGUCCUCACACUCCAGGUGUUUGAAGACCGGAUGAUCAAAACAUGGUCUUUCAACGGGUCCCUCUGAUCCCCUGUCGGUGCGCAUCCAAUCCUACCGUUCUUGUACAUCUGCUAGCAUCGCCUGUCCAGAGUCGCCGCUUGUCCAACCAAGCUAGAGCCCAUAAUGACUUGUGGUUGUGCAGGUAAGCCUUGGGUCCUGAAGCCUCCGUCCAUCCCUUUGAUCUUGGGUGAAGCUUUCCGCAAGAUGUCAUGGCACUUCUCCAUGCAUCCCGGGUCAUCCACUGGUUUCUCCAGGGAGCCUAUCAAAACCGUCCUUCACCCAGAGUUGCAUUUGCUUCACGAGGUCUUGAAAAGUCUUGACUUAACCGGUCUUGGUUAUUAAAAUAUUCUCGCAUCACUCGUGUUAUGCACUCAACCAGAAUCCCGUCUACUCAAGCAUAGCAACAUAAAAUUUGUCGUCCCAGGCCAAGUAACGGGAUUGUUGGGCGCCUACCACAUGAUACUACAACAUGUAACCAUAAUUUCCAAGUACCUACUCAGCAUGCAAUUGGCUAAAGAAAGGUACAACUACCAUGCAUAGAAAACAUAGGCGAUAGUAUGAUCAAAGUGACUUGCCUUGCUGAUAGUUGUCAUUAUCAAGCACUUCUAAGUGGCACGCUUCGCACUCCGGGUAUCUAUCGAUACAAACAAAUACACAGCAUAAGCACUACAAUCAUUAACAAGCAAAAUAACAUCACUAGCAUAAAACUACUAUUGCAUAAAGUGAAGAAAUUCACUUCACCUAAUCAAAAUAGAAUCUGUUUUUGAUAAAACCCCACGUAAACAUAUUUCAAAAACCUUGAAACUUAAACUACCGAAAGAUAUGAUCACUAGGAAGCAGCAGCAAAAAGAAUCAAAUUAAAAGCUAUUUUUAAACUCCUGGAAUAAGCAAAACAAGAUUUAAACUAAAUCUAAUCUAAUUCACAUUUUGAAAUUUCAAAUAUAGGCAAAUAAUAUGUUUUGGAAAACUAUAGAAAAAUUGUGAUCUACUGGAAAACGAAUCAACCUCAUUGGACUUCUAUAACAAAAGUUAUAGGGAAAACAAAAUUGAAACUCUCUAUGUUUUCUAACUAAAACAGAAAAAGGGGAAAAAAUCUACUAGUGAACAGGGGGGCAUGUGGCGGUUUCUGAUUGGCUAUGGCGUGUGAGCUGCGGUGACUAAUUGGCGAACGCCCGCAAUUUAAACAAAAGUCUCCGGCUAAAUAUUAAGUGACGAAAACCAUUCGUAUUAUUUAAAAACUGAAGGGGUAUAACAGAUCUAAUCUGAUGUGUUGAUCCUAGAUCUAAGGGUGGAGGGUGAAAAAGAGGGACUCACCGGCUACAGAGAAGAACUUCGGCGAACCUGUGCUACAGCCAAAGGUGGGGGCGGCCGGGGAAGAGGCUCCGGUGGCCGGCCGAGGUAGGGAAGGAGUCCGAGCGGCGGAGGGGGAUCUCCGGCGUCCUUUGGUGGCGUCGGGGAGGCGUGGGGGCGACGGGANUGGUGGGGAAAAUGGGUUGCGGAGGCUGGUGGGGUUCUUAUAGGGGGCGAGGGAGGAGCUAGGAGGGAAGGGAAGCCGCGAAAUCCGGAAGGGAGGAUUUUGGCUCCCUGCCAUGGAAGGCAACCGUGCGUGAGAUGGAAGGAUCGGGAGGUUAGGGAUGAUAGGGGAUCGGGCCAGAUUCAUUUUUUUUCAAAUCGGCCGAGCUAGGUUUCCAAAAAAAAAA